GCCUGUGAGGAUUUAAUCCAUUUGUAUGAGGUGUAGUUGAGCCAAGUCCUUGUUUUUACAAGGAGAACCUACUUGGUUAAGCUACAUUUCACAUGAUAUUACUGGAUUUUACUCAGGC